ensembl:snRNA U6 U6 spliceosomal RNA
GCACAAACAGCACGUGUACUAAAAUUGGAACAAUACAGAGAAGGUUGGCAUGGCCUCUGCACAGCAGGAUGACAUGCAGAUCUGUGAAGCACUGCAUAUUUAA